UCAGUUGUGAAAGUUUGCGGCUCAACCGUAAAAUUGCAGUUGAUACUGGGUGUCUUGAGUACAGUAGAGGCAGGCGGAAUUCGUGGUGUAGCGGUGAAAUGCUUAGAUAUCACGAAGAACUCCGAUUGCGAAGGCAGCCUGCUAAGCUGCAACUGACAUUGAGGCUCGAAAGUGUGGGUAUCAAACAGGAUUAGAUACCCUGGUAGUCCACACGGUAAACGAUGAAUACUCGCUGUUUGCGAUAUACUGCAAGCGGCCAAGCGAAAGCGUUAAGUAUUCCACCUGGGGAGUACGCCGGCAACGGUGAAACUCAAAGGAAUUGACGGGGGCCCGCACAAGCGGAGGAACAUGUGGUUUAAUUCGAUGAUACGCGAGGAACCUUACCCGGGCUUAAAUUGCAGAUGAAUUACGGUGAAAGCCGUAAGCCGCAAGGCAUCUGUGAAGGUGCUGCAUGGUUGUCGUCAGCUCGUGCCGUGAGGUGUCGGCUUAAG
rnacentral:rRNA from 1 species